rnacentral:ncRNA from 1 species
ACGCUGGAAAGUCGCUGACGGAUCGGAGGGUCCCGACGCGCGCCGACGGAGCAAGGCCGAGCCUUUUCGGGAACGGUCGGAAUCUCUCAGGCUUCGAGACAGCGGGGG